UAAAGCGUGCGCAGGCGGUUUUGUAAGACUGUCGUGAAAUCCCCGGGCUCAACCUGGGAAUGGCGAUGGUGACUGCAAGGCUAGAGUUUGGCAGAGGGGGGUAGAAUUCCACGUGUAGCAGUGAAAUGCGUAGAUAUGUGGAGGAACACCGAUGGCGAAGGCAGCCCCCUGGGUCAAAACUGACGCUCAUGCACGAAAGCGUGGGGAGCAAACAGGAUUAGAUACCCUGG
rnacentral:rRNA from 1 species